UACGGAGGGUGCAAGCGUUGCUCGGAAUCAUUGGGCGUAAAGCGUACGCAGGCUGUCUGUUAAGUCGGGUGUGAAAGCCCGGGGCUCAACCCCGGAACUGCGCCCGAAACUGGCAGGCUUGAAUGCGGGAGAGGGAAGCGGAAUUCCUGGUGUAGAGGUGAAAUUCGUAGAUAUCAGGAGGAACACCGGUGGCGAAAGCGGCUUCCUGGCCCGACAUUGACGCUCAUGUACGAAAGCGUGGGGAGCAAACAGGAUUAGAUACCCUGGUAGUCCACGCCGUAAACGAUGAGUGCUAGCUGCUGGGAAUGUUUACCGUCUCAGUGGCGAAGCUAACGCAUUAAGCACUCCGCCUGGGAAGUACGGCCGCAAGGCUAAA
rnacentral:rRNA from 1 species